AGAGUUUGAUCCUGGCUCAGAAUGAACGUUGGCGGCGUGGAUUAGGCAUGCAAGUCGUACGGGCCGCAAGGCCAGUGGCGCAAGGGUGAGUAAGGCGACGGUAACCAACCCCAUGAUUGGGUAUAGCCGCGGGAAACUGCGGGUAAUCCCCAGCGACGUCCCGGGGGGGCAUCCCCUGGGGACCAAAGCUCUGGCGUCGUGGGACGGGCCGUCGUGGUAUUAGGUUGUUGGCGGGGUAACGGCCCACCAAGCCUGCGAUGCCUACCGGGCGUGCGAGCGCGACCCGGCACACUGGGACUGAGACACUGCCCAGACUCCUACGGGAGGCUGCAGUCGAGAAUCUUCGGCAAUGGGCGCAAGCCUGACCGAGCGACGCCGCGUGGAGGACGAAGGCCUUCGGGUUGUAAACUCCUGUCGAGGGGAAAGAAGGGCCGAAAGGCCUUGACUGAUCCCUGGAGGAAGCACGGGCUAAGUUCGUGCCAGCAGCCGCGGUAAGACGAACCGUGCGAACGUUAUUCGGAAUCACUGGGCUUAAAGCGCGUGUAGGCGGGACGGCACGUCGGUUGCUGAAAUCCCCCGGCUCAACCGGGGAACGGGCGCCGAUACGACCGCCCUGGAGGGACGUAGGGGGACCUGGAACUUCCGGUGGAGCGGUGAAAUGCGUUGAGAUCGGAAGGAACGCCCGUGGCGAAAGCGAGGUCCUGGACGUUUUCUGACGCUGAGACGCGAAAGCCAGGGGAGCGAACGGGAUUAGAUACCCUAGUAGUCC
rnacentral:rRNA from 1 species